AAAAGAUUAAGUUAUUAAGGGCGCACGGUGGAUGCCUUGGCACUAGAAGCCGACGAAGGACGUUACUAACGACGAUAUGCUUUGGGGAGCUGUAAGUAAGCUUUGAUCCAGAGAUUUCCGAAUGGGGAAACCCAGCACGAGUUAUGUCGUGUUAUCGAUAUGUGAAUACAUAGC
rnacentral:rRNA from 1 species